rnacentral:rRNA from 1 species
CAGUCGCCACGGGAAUACGUAGGUGGCAAGCGUUGUCCGGAAUUAUUGGGCGUAAAGGGCUCGCAGGCGGUUUCUUAAGUCUGAUGUGAAAGCCCCCGGCUCAACCGGGGAGGGUCAUUGGAAACUGGGAAACUUGAGUGCAGAAGAGGAGAGUGGAAUUCCACGUGUAGCGGUGAAAUGCGUAGAGAUGUGGAGGAACACCAGUGGCGAAGGCGACUCUCUGGUCUGUAACUGACGCUGAGGAGCGAAAGCGUGGGGAGCGAACAGGAUUAGAUACCCGAGUAGUCCCUGUCUCUUAUAC